rnacentral:rRNA from 1 species
GACGUAGGGCGCGAGCGUUGUCCGGAUUUAUUGGGCGUAAAGAGCUCGUAGGCGGUUUGUCGCGUCGUCCGUGAAAACUCACAGCUUAACUGUGAGCUUGCGGUCGAUACGGGCAGGCUAGAGUUCGGUAGGGGAGACUGGAAUUCCUGGUGUAGCGGUGAAAUGCGCAGAUAUCAGGAGGAACACCGAUGGCGAAGGCAGGUCUCUGGGCAUUAACUGACGCUGAGGAGCGAAAGCAUGGGGAGCGAACAGG